rnacentral:rRNA from 1 species
GACGAACGCUGGCGGCGUGCCUAAUACAUGCAAGUCGAACGAGAGCAACCGGUGCUUGCACUGGUCAAUCUAGUGGCGAACGGGUGAGUAACACGUGGGUAACCUGCCCAUCAGAGGGGGAUAACAUCCGGAAACGGAUGCUAAAACCGCAUAGGUCUUCGAACCGCAUGGUUUGAUGAGGAAAAGAGGCGCAAGCUUCUGCUGUUGGAUGGACCCGCGGUGCAUUAGCUAGUUGGUGAGGUAACGGCUCACCAAGGCCGUGAUGCAUAGCCGACCUGAGAGGGUGAUCGGCCACAUUGGGACUGAGACACGGCCCAAACUCCUACGGGAGGCAGCAGUAGGGAAUCUUCCGCAAUGGACGCAAGUCUGACGGAGCAACGCCGCGUGAGUGAAGAAGGUUUUCGGAUCGUAAAACUCUGUUGUUAGAGAAGAACAAGUGCUAGAGUAACUGUUAGCGCCUUGACGGUAUCUAACCAGAAAGCCACGGCUAACUACGUG